UACAGGGGGGGCAAGCGUUGUUCGGAAUUACUGGGCGUAAAGGGUUCGUAGGUGGCCAACUUAGUCAGACGUGAAAUCCCUCAGCUUAACUGGGGAACUGCGUCUGAUACUGGAUGGCUUGAGUGCAGGAGAGGAACGCGGAAUUCCAGGUGUAGCGGUGAAAUGCGUAGAUAUCUGGAGGAACACCGGUGGCGAAGGCGGCGUUCUGGACUGCAACUGACACUGAGGAACGAAAGCCAGGGGAGCAAACGGG
rnacentral:rRNA from 1 species